GUGUUCGUAGAAAGGAGAGAAGGUUGGCAUCUCCACUGACUGGGACAGGAACAACCUUCGGGGGCUUUACCUGUUAUCUGAGCGCGUGUCUGUGUACUUUGAGUUGGAAGGGCACAUCCACAUUAAGGAACUUCCACAAGUUGGAAAAUUUUGU
rfam:Nicotiana attenuata strain TT chromosome 6, whole genome shotgun sequence.